GUGGGGGAUAUUGCACAAUGGAGGGAACUCUGAUGCAGCGACGCCGCGUGAAGGAAGAAGGCCUUCGGGUCGUAAACUUCUGUCCUUGGGGAAGAAAGAAAUGACGGUACCCUUGGAGGAAGCCCCGGCUAACUACGUGCCAGCAGCCGCGGUAACACGUAGGGGGCGAGCGUUAUCCGGAAUUACUGGGCGUAAAGAGUGCGUAGGUGGCUUUUUAAGCGCGGGGUCUAAGGCUAUGGCCUAACCAUAGUCCGCCCUGCGAACUGGAGAGCUUGAGUACAGGAGGGGAAAGCGGAAUUCCUAGUGUAGCGGUGAAAUGCGUAGAUAUUAGGAGGAACACCAGUGGCGAAGGCGGCUUUCUGGACUGAAACUGACACUGAGGCACGAAAGCGUGGGUAGCAAACAGGAUUAGAAACCCUAGUAGUCC
rnacentral:rRNA from 1 species